CUGGAGACAUGUGAUUUUAAACCCAGAACAUCAACAUCCACAGUCUGCACAUCAACAGUUUGGCUGAAAAUAAGACACAGAAGCAGACUUUCAAUAACGAGAUUAGUGACGAGGACACUAGAAGGACUAAUGAGCUAAUCAAGAUAUUUUAGAACACUGGUAUGGAAAACGUCUCCGACUGAGGAUUUACAAAGUCGAAUCAGAAUCUUAAAGUCUUGUCAAUAGUUGACUGAUAAUGAAAUCGUGUGUGUGUUUGGGUUUAUGUGGGUUUGAGCGUGGGGGCAAUAAAAACAUGAAAAUUAUCAAAUUGAUUUAUUCAUAAUUACUUUACGAGAUCUGGAGUCUGGACCUCAAUAUCAGCUACCCAUGGGACAAGAAAAGAGUUGCUCAUCAGUGAUAAAAAUGGUGAGUGCCAUGAAGAUGCUGAGGUGCACCUCAAAUAUAUUCCCAUGGAAAGCCUGAAUCCCAGCAAGAGCUCUCCAGAUGGGAGAUGGUUCUGGUCCAGAAGACCAUGGUGAUCUGGUGAUGUAGCUAAAAUGAAUGCAUUAAACUAUAAAAGCAUAGGCUCCGCCUAAAUAUUCCUGAAUGAAUCUCCACAAAAAUCUUGUGGAACAUCUUUCCAGAAGAGUGGAGCUCAUUAGAACCGUGAAUGGCGACUAAAUGUGGAAUGGAAUGUUUAAAAAUGGGAUGAAAUCCUGGAGUUCUUGAUAAGUGUGGAAGAGCUGCAGUUCAUGACAGUAAAGAGGACUGAUAAAUCACACAGUCCCAAAGACAGAAAAAUGAUUGCACAAAAUCAUGAGUCAAGCACUAAUGAGGCAGACUGAGUGAUGGAGUGCUUCUCCCUCAUCACUUUCCAGAUGAGGAUGUGCACAGAGGUCGAAGAGUUUGAGCAGACGUUCAGAUGCCCACUCCAUCCAUAUGCACCAGCGAUCAUCGUGACAACCCUCAACAGGAAUCCAUUAUUCAUAUGUGGAUUACUCACUAAACUGGAUUUUAUUGUUGAUUAUAUGUUUGAUAUAAUCCUAAAUUGUUUUUGAAACUCAUCCUGGAAUUGUCGUCAUAGCAACAGGCCCAUCAUCUCAGACCUGUUCAGAAGCAGGAUGAUGGCUUUAUAAGUACAGUGUCUUCUCCAUGUAUAACAUGUAAGAGAACCCUUUGCAGAAGGAGCAAGUAUAAAAUGGAGAUAUUUCCAAAUUCAACAUGGAAUGUGUAAAAGUCCAGAUCCUACAGCAAAGGAAA